rnacentral:rRNA from 1 species
AGUCAGGGGGCCCGAGGCGCAAGCCAAGGGCAACCGGCGAACGGGUGCGUAACACNGUGAGCAACCUACCGAAAUGUGGGGGAUAGCCGGCCCAACGGCCGGGUAAUACCGCAUACGCUCGAGACCAGGCAUUUGGACUCGAGGAAAUUUACGGAGCAUUUCGAGGGGCUCGCGGCCUAUCAGCUAGUUGGUGAGGUAACGGCUCACCAAGGCGACGACGGGUAGCUGGUCUGAGAGGAUGGCCAGCCACAUUGGGACUGAGAUACGGCCCAGACUCCUACGGGAGGCAGCAGUGGGGAAUCUUGCGCAAUGGCCUAACGGCUGACGCAGCGACGCCGCGUGAGGGAUGACGCUCUUCGGAGUGUAAACCUCUUUUGUCUGAGACGAACUGUCAGCUUUAGCUGAUUUGACGGUAUCGGGCGAAUAAGCACCGGCUAACUCCGUGCCAGCAGCCGCGGUAAUACGGGGGGUGCGAGCGUUGUCCGGAAUCACUGGGCGUAAAGGGCGCGUAGGUGGUCUUAUAAGGGUGUGGUGAAAGCCCGGGGCUCAACCCCGGGUCGGCCGUGCCGACUGUGAGACUAGAGUGCUGUAGGGGCAGGCGGAAUUCCGGGUGUAGCGGUGGAAUGCGUAGAGAUCCGGAGGAAGACCGGUGGCGAAGGCGGCCUGCUGGGCAGAUACUGACACUGAGGCGCGACAGCGUGGGGAGCAACA